rnacentral:lncRNA from 1 species
UCAGAAACUGAUAGUGAGGUGAAGGUACUUCAUUGUUGAGGGGUGCUCAGUUAACUCGUACUCUGAUUCCCGGGAAGUUGGUGCUUGCCAUAUUACCUUUCGUUUUGCGUCCAGCGACACUAUUUUAGUUAGCAUGUAUACUGUAUUUAAUUUAGCAUGAGAAAGAGAUGGUUAGGUCUGAGUUUAUCAAGUAUCUUCAAUAAAGUUAAUCUGAGCAUGAUUGGUGUUUGCGGAAAAGUAUCGGUGGUAGCACCCCACUUGGAUUACGAAUAAAUAUUAAUUUGUUUGACCUUCCCUUCCCACAACAGUAAGAAGAGAGGAGGAUGGUUGUGGGAGCCUGGACAAAAGCCCGCUUGUCCAUGUCUAGCCUAUAGCCUCUAUUUACUAAUUAACUUGAACUCAUUUUAGGACAGGAAAGAGUAGGCCAAAUGGAGCCACAGAGUCACCUUCAGCAUUGGUCUUUAAAGUAUGAAACUGUAAUGGUUGGUAAGCUCAUUUCAGGCCUCAGUGCCUUGAGCUUGAAAGUUACCCUCAGCCUUGCAGCUCUGCAUCCAUUCUGCCCUUGGCAGGCUUGAGUUGGAGAUACCAUAGUUACUGCAGGGUUUAAAGUGGGUGGUUGAAGACUCUUGAGUCUUCUUCAUUGUGAAUCAGUUCCACUAAGGUUGCAAUUCUAGAGGUUCCAAGUAUCCUGAGAAGGCCUUAGAUGCACUAUGAGUAGUAUUUAUUUAUUUUUUUUUUUUAGGCGCCUCUAUUGCUUUAGUAAGGUCCUAACCUGACCUCCACUGUAGACACCAAAGGGCUUUGCAUCCUGAUGAGUAACCUGCCUUGUUCCUCUAGACCAAUGGUCUAACCACACUGCACCAGCCCCUUGGUCUUCUCCUUAUCAUAGAUCCCACCCCAUCCCUUGUCUCUUGACAGAGGUAUCAUAAUUUCAGUAACUUUUUUAUAUUUUUGAUUUGUUUCUUUUUACUCUUUUCCCAACAUGUCAAGAGUAGAAUGUUCUCUGUUAAACACCAGCACCUUAGACACAUCCUUAAGUACAGUGUCGAUAUUCAGCCUAGCAUGUGCAUUACCUAAGACCUGUUAUUCUCAGAGGCUUGCAGGGUCCACAAGCCUUCACAGAGGAAGAACAAAGUUCCCUGGGCAAAAGAUUUCGAUCAGAAAAUCUAACCAGGAAAGGAGUUCUGUUCUCUGAUACUGUUCCCGAAGCAUCACAGGGGCUGAUCAAUUUAGAUCAUCCAUUCCCUCACCAAUCAGCCUUAUAUUAAAAGUAUUUCUUAUACUGGGUCUUGUGCCAAAUGCUGGAUUGCAAAACCUAGAAACAAAGUCCAUACAGCCCCAUGGUGGUGGUGGUGGGGGAUUUCUAGGCCCAUGUGUAUUAUACGAAUAUACGUAUACAUGUCAUACUUACGCUUGUAAAAAUACUUUUCCCCCUCAUGUUAAGACAUUAUACCCAGGGAUUUGCAUGUUCUAAUCAAGACCUCUGGGUUGCACAUUCCUAGCCUUAGUCCGGUUUGGUUUGGUUAAACUAUGGCUUGAAUUGUCUAGCAUGUCCAGGGAGCUAAGAACAAUCCCCUUCUCCACUCUUCCUCCUUAACUGUGUCAUCUUAGCUCCCCGCAUGUGCUGCAGUGUUUGCGGAGUGGAUGGGGGUGGCCCUUGAACUGCAGGCACCCCUGACAUUCCCACGCGUUUCUGUUGGUCCAUCCUUUCAUAUAUUUAGGAGCAUCUUAAUGUUUACAUUUCCCUGUGUUUUAAAUCACCAGUUUUCCCUCCCCUAGCUCAUCAGUGCAGUGAACACAGACAGGCUAAGCCGUCCUCACAGACUCAUGCCAUAGCAUGGUGUUUGCCUGUGUCUGUAAGUACAGCAGAGAAUUAAAAGUUUUGUAGCAGAAACACAGUCUCUAUUGGAAUGAAAAUGAUCAUGCUGUUUAAUGCUUAGGCUUAAUGUUUAAAGCAACCAACUUAAAGUCCUGGUCUUUGUACUUUAAGCAUCUGAAUAUAUAAAGUCAAUAAAAAAGGAGGUCCGGUUUUAGGUACACAUAAACUUGACAUUCAGGAGUUGGAACUGAGUUAAUACUAUUUUAUAAGGGAACAGAAAUUAAGCGCUCUGAAUUAUGAUUUAACUAGUUAGAAGGCUCUCUGAGAGACUAUAGCUCCUUUUGGGUAACCUCAUUAGCUUUCUUUAUAGGUGCGGUCUGUAUUAUUAAGUCUGAACAAUCUUUAACUACUUGAGUUUAUUAGGAGGCCGCUUUGUUCAGCUCUGGUGACCUGGACUUUCAGAAACUGGAAGGAAAUCUACUCACUGUCAUCUUUAGGACUCUGGAUUUUUUUUGGAUAUUUUUGGAUUUUGUUUUGUUUUGCCUUUCUUUACUCUCUUUAAGCUCUUUUAGAAAAAGAGCUUUUAAAUGUCAUCAGACAUUUACUUCAGAAUAAGACAAAAAAAUCAUUAAUUAAAUGAGUUGAAGGU